AUUGAACGCUGGCGGCAGGCCUAACACAUGCAAGUCGAACGAGUGUCGCACGGGUGAGUAAUGUGUGGGAGACUGCCCGCUGGAGGGGGAUAACUCUUGGAAACGGUAUCUAAUACCGCAUACCAUCGGAUGUGCCCACAUGGGGGUAGCUUGUAGGUGAGGUAACGGCUCACCUAGGCGCCGAUCCCUAGCUGGUCUGUGAGGAUGAGCAGCCACACUGGAACUGAGACACGGUCCAGACUCCUACGGGAGGCAGCAGUGGGGAAUAUUGCACAAUGGGCGCAAGCCUGAUGCAGCCAUGCCGCGUGUAUUAAGAAGGCCUUCGGGUUGUAAAGUACUUUCAGCGAGGAGGCGUUACCCGCAGAAGAAGCACCGGCUAACUCCGUGCCAGCAGCCGCGGUAAUUC
rnacentral:rRNA from 1 species